rnacentral:tRNA from 1 species
UGCCCGGUAGCUCAGCAGGCAGAGCGCCGCUCUUACAAAGCGGAUGUCGGCGGUUCGAAACCGUCUCGGGCAACCA